AGAGUUUGAUCAUGGCUCAGGACGAACGCUGGCGGUGUGCUUAACACAUGCAAGUGGAGCGACGAACCAGGGCUUGCCCUGGGGCAGAGCCGCGAACGGGUGAGUAACACGUGGGUAACGUACCCCGAUGACCGGGACAACCCGAGGAAACUCGGGCUAAUACCGGAUGUGUCCGGUCUUCAUGAGAAGACCGAGCAAAGGAAGCUUCGGCCUCCGCAUCGGGAGCGGCCCGCGGCCCAUUAGCUAGUUGGUGGGGUAAUGGCCUACCAAGGCUGCGAUGGGUAGCUGGUCUGAGAGGACGACCAGCCACACUGGGACUGAGACACGGCCCAGACUCCUACGGGAGGCAGCAGUGGGGAAUCUUGCGCAAUGCGCGAAAGCGUGACGCAGCAACACCGCGUGAGGGAAGACGGCCUUCGGGUUGUAAACCUCUUUCAGGAGGGACGAAGGGCGACCGGUGAAUAGCCGUGUUGCUUGACGGUACCUCCAGAAGAAGCUCCGGCUAACUACGUGCCAGCAGCCGCGGUAAUACGUAGGGAGCAAGCGUUGUCCGGAAUCAUUGGGCGUAAAGCGCGCGUAGGCGGCCCGAUAAGUCCGCUGUAAAAGUCAACGGCUCAACUGUUGAAAGCCGGUGGAUACUGUCGGGCUAGAGUCCGGAAGAGGCAAGUGGAAUUCCUGGUGUAGCGGUGGAAUGCGUAGAGAUCCGGAAGAACACCGGGGGCGAAGGCGGCUCGCUGGGCAUGGUCCGACGCUGAGGCGCGAAAGCGUGGGGAGCGAACAGGAUUAGAUACCCCCGUAGUCC
rnacentral:rRNA from 1 species